GUCCACGGGUCUCUGAUUUAAGGAAACGUGCUCCUGUCGGUGGCUGAACUGGAUGACUGGCUGAGCGCGACAGAGAUAUCACUCAGAUAAACAUCGGACAUACACUCUUUAAGAUGUUUACUGGGAGCCCAGAGUGUGCCGGGCGUCUUCCCAGACCUGGGGAUUUUCCCCUUUUCCUGCAGCGCUCAAGGCUAGAGUACUGGAGAUUGAAUCUAGGGCUUCAGGCAUUCCAGGCAUGCACGCUCCCACCGAGCCACAGCCUCGGCCCUUUUCUUCAUCUUGAGGCAGGAUCUAGCUGAGUUACCCAGGUUGGCCUUUGCAUCCGGUCUGCAGCGCACACAGCGUCUGAAUCUGUAUUCCUCCUGCCUCUGCCCCCUCCCAACACAAGUUAGAAAAUCAGCUCUUAAAAUAAAUACGCGUUGA